rnacentral:tRNA from 1 species
GGCAAGAUGGCCGAGCGGUCCAAGGCGCCAGGUUCAGGUCCACCUGAAUUUCCUUGAAUACAUGUUCAAGAUUCCUGGUCUCAGAAAUGGGGCGUGAGUUCAAAUCUCACUCUUGUCA